rnacentral:rRNA from 1 species
UACGAAGGGGGCUAGCGUUGUUCGGAAUCACUGGGCGUAAAGCGCACGCAGGCGGAUCGUUAAGUCAGGGGUGAAAUCCCGAGGCUCAACCUCGGAACUGCCUCUGAUACUGGCGAUCUUCGAGUCCGGGAGAGGUGAGUGGAACUCCGAGUGUAGAGGUGAAAUUCGUAGAUAUUCGGAAGAACACCAGUGGCGAAGGCGGCCACCUGGACGGUAACUGACGCUGAGACGCGAAAGCGUGGGGAGCAAACAGG